rnacentral:rRNA from 1 species
ACGGCUGCUCAGUCCCACGUGGACAACCUGCCCUCGGGUGGGGGAUAGCCCCGGGAAACUGGGGCUAAUCCCCCAUAGGUGAUGGGUGCUGGAAUGCCCCAUCUCCGAAAGCGCUUAGCGCCCGAGGAUGGGUCUGCGGCGGAUUAGGUAGUUGGUGGGGUAACGGCCCACCAAGCCUAAGAUCCGUACGGGCUGUGGGAGCAGGAGCCCGGAGAUGGACCCUGAGACAAGGGUCCAGGCCCUACGGGGCGCAGCAGGCGCGAAACCUCCGCAAUGCGGGAAACCGCGACGGGGUUAGCCGGAGUGCCCGUGCAUUGCACGGGCUGUCGGGGUGCCUAAACAGCACCCCAUAGCAAGGGCCGGGCAAGGCCGGUGGCAGCCGCCGCGGUAAGACCGGCGGCCCGAGUGGCGGCCACUCUUAUUGGGCCUAAAGCGUCCGUAGCCGGCCCAGUAAGUCCCCCGGGAAAUCUGGUCGCUUAACGAUCAGACUUCCGGGGGAUACUGCUGGGCUAGGGACCGGGAGAGGCCGAGGGUAUUCCCGGGGUAGGGGUGAAAUCCUGUAAUCCCGGGAGGACCACCUGUGGCGAAGGCGCUCGGCUGGAACGGGUCCGACGGUGAGGGACGAAGGCCUGGGGAGCGAACCGGAUUAGAUACCCGGGUAGUCCAGGCUGUAAACGAUGCGGGCUAGGUGUCACCGGAGCUACGAGCUCCGGUGGUGCCGGAGGGAAGCCGUUAAGCCCGCCGCCUGGGAAGUACGGCCGCAGGCUGAAACUUAAAGUGAUUGGCGGGGGAGCAGAG